rnacentral:pre_miRNA from 1 species
CAACUACUCCCUCUGUCCCAAAUUUCUUGUCUUAGAUUUGUCUAGAUACAUAUGUAUCUAAUACUAAAAUGUGACUUGAUACAUCCGUAUCCAGACAAAUCUAAGACAAGAAUUUUGGGACGGAGGGAGUACUUU